rnacentral:rRNA from 1 species
UCUGCACCGAGGGAGGCGCCCGCGACUCUAAACAACGGGUGCCGUGUCAGCUAGUCCCUGCCGGUGCCCUCUACGCACCGACCCGGGCAACAUCGUCAAACUGCGGGAAAGCCCUGCCACGACUCUCGGGACCUCACCGCCCCAGCAAUGGAAGCGGGUGCCUGCGGCCAACGGCCGCGGGUACGGUAAAGCACCGAAGUCUAGGGGCGAUCCGCCGCCAAACCCUCCCCGCACCGGGAGGGCCCAGCUCACAGGCCAGACGGCGAUGGGCGCUCUCGCGCUUAAGAUAUGGUCGAGUGACCCGCCGAGAGGCGGGUGCAACUCAGGAACGUCCGUAGGUGAACCUGCGGAAGGAUCAUU